GACGAACGCUGGCGGCGUGCCUAAUACAUGCAAGUUGAGCGCUGAAGGUUGGUACUUGUACCAACUGGAUGAGCAGCGAACGGGUGAGUAACGCGUGGGGAAUCUGCCUUUGAGCGGGGGACAACAUUUUGAAACGAAUGCUAAUACCGCAUAAAAACUUUAAACACAAGUUUUAAGUUUGAAAGAUGCAAUUGCAUCACUCAAAGAUGAUCCCGCGUUGUAUUAGCUAGUUGGUGAGGUAAAGGCUCACCAAGGCGAUGAUACAUAGCCGACCUGAGAGGGUGAUCGGCCACAUUGGGACUGGGACACGGCCCAAACUCCUACGGGAGGCAGCAGUAGGGAAUCUUCGGCAAUGGACGAAAGUCUGACCGAGCAACGCCGCGUGAGUGAAGAAGGUUUUCGGAUCGUAAAACUCUGUUGGUAGAGAAGAACGUUGGUGAGAGUGGAAAGCUCAUCAAGUGACGGUAACUACCCAGAAAGGGACGGCUAACUACGUG
rnacentral:rRNA from 1 species